rnacentral:sRNA from 1 species
UAGAUCUAAAUGUCUUUGGACUUUUGUUGUGGUUGUUAACAAGAUGGCGUCAUAUCAAUAUCACUAAUUGAAGUAUUCUUGUCUAAAUUCGAGAUGGAAAAUUUUGCCAAGUUAUCCUUUAUCUUGUGUGCAGUUGUUGCUACAAUAUAUCACAAUGCAUUAUGGUGUGGAUUUGUAUUUGAUGAUAUGUCUGCAAUAGUGGAGAAUAAAGAUCUUAGACCAAAUACACCAUUUUCAGACUUAUUUUUGAACGAUUUCUGGGGCACACCAAUGCAUAAGGAAAAAAGCCAUAAGUCUUACCGACCUUUGUGUGUGGCAACCUUCAGAUUAAACUAUGCUCUUAGUGAACUAGAGCCAUUAGGUUAUCAUUUAUUGAACAUCCUUUUGCAUUCUGCUGUUUGCAUUAUAUUUAUGAGGUGAGUAAUAUAAUUCUACAAUUAGUGUGCUAAUAGCAGAUUCCCGGUAUAUCAAUUCUGUAAUAUCAUGACUCACACCACAUGGUGGACUCUAGGGACAAGGAAUAAGUAAGAAUGACUGUAGAGAAAAAAUAUAAUGUAUUUUUAAUGAUUUAAUUUCCAUAUGUGUGUUCUUUCACUAAACUUAACAUAUCAAACAGCACUGUUUCAAAUUUUACUUAAAUUGAAUAAAAUAAGUAAACAAGAAAACGAUUAAAAAACAACAACAACAGUGCGACAGAUCGUCUCAGAUUACUUUAAAAUAUCACUUAGGUUUCAGCAUUUAUGUAUUCAGUUAACCCUAUCAUUAUUAUUUCUACCAACUAGUCUAUGAAGACUAUUUACUAUCAUCUCUACUCUUAAAAAGUAA